rnacentral:lncRNA from 1 species
ACCGGAUCUCAGUUGGGCCUGUUCAUUUUGUUGGCUCCUUUUAUGUUAAUAAAAAAAUGGGAUCUUGCCCACCUUUAAACCAAAAAAAUAAGAAGUUAAUGCCUCUUGAAAUACAUCUCGAGUUUUGAUAAUGGUAAAAUUUAAAAUGAAUUUGAAAAAAAGAAAUAUUUAUUCACAAGAAAAGAAAGACCCUCGAUUUUUUUUUUGAAAAGGUAUUAGUUGUAUUGCACUAGCACUGUAUUUUCCUGUCUACACCAUGCCUUUAUUUAUGCCCCUUUCAAAUGGGAUAGAAGAUUGAUAAGGUGAGAGAGUUUUAAUGGCAACGCAGCAGGGAAAAAAAGACUUUCAGCUUCGUGAAAUAGAGCACAAUCAUUGAAAGGAAGGAAGAGGAAAGUCUACUCGAGCUUAAUUGAGAGAUCUCAUUGUAGCUCAAGAAAGAAUGAGAAUGAACG